UAUUAAACAGCUUGAUUCUGGCUGUGGGUGCUUAGCUUUUUUAAAAUUUUAUACAUGACAAUUUAAUGUGUGCUAGUGAGGAUUUAUAUUAGUUGCUUAAAGUGAAAAAAAUAAGUUUUAAUGUUUUAUAAUGCUGGCUAAUUUUAGUACAUUUUCAGUAUAAAGUUUUAAACUAUAAGGGCGUAAGCCUGUUUUAGUUAUUAUUAUUAAGAAUUGGCAAAUUUUGUGCCAGCUGCUGCGGUUAUACAAGAGAUUCUAGUUAAGUUAAAAUGGCUUAAAAUGUGGUUAGUAAUAAUUUUUUAGAAAAAGAAGUUAAUGUUAAGUGGUAAAAUGUGUAAAUUAUUGUUGGUUUUUUUUUUUCAUAAUUUUUGUAUGAGGCCACGUGAGCUUUGGGUAAAAACUAGGAUUAGAGACCCUACUAUUCUUUUGUUUUAAUUUUUUUGUGCCGGGGUAUUAAAAGUGAUCUUUAAACCCAAAGAAUUUGGCGGUAUUUUAUUCUAUUUAGGGGAGCCUGCCCUAUAAGCGAUAAUCCACGUUUAAGUCUGCUCUUGUAUUUUUGUUUUUGCUUGUAUACUUCCGUUGUCAGCGUAUGUUUUUAAAUUGACUUAUACGCAAAAUAAAUUUUUGUUUUUGAUAUCAGGUCGACGUGCAGCGUUUACAAGAGAAGAGGUGGGCUACAUUAGGUUAGUUUUACAGUCGAUUAUUUGGAAGAGUAUUUGUAAGUUGGACUUAAUAGUAAUUUUUUGAUUAAAAAGCUAGUUUGAAAAAAGCUCUAAAAUGUGUACAAAUCGCCCGUCGCUCUUUCCGAUUAUGAGGUAAGAUAAGUCGUAACAUAGUAAGAGUAGCUGAAGCUGCUCUUAUAUU
rnacentral:ncRNA from 1 species